AUUCUUGACACACAGAAGCUGUAAGAAAAUAUGUAUUUGUAACUUCAAGCUGUCAAGUUUGUAGUGAUUUGUUAUGCAGCAAUGGAUGACCAGUAUAAUGGAUCAACUCACUUAAAUUUGGGAACUUCAGUUCCUGAUCAUGGUGGAUAAGUACUUUGACCACUGAUUGACACAGCAGAACAAGGAUUUGGGGUCAAGCUGUGCAACCCAAGGUCCAGGAGGUAAAGGGAAGAUCAACCCACCUUUGUGUAUUAUGAAGAUAUGAGCAAACAAACUAGAACACACGCACAAAGAAUAAAUUGAGAUCUGCUAUUUAAUACUUACACGAAGGCACAGAAUGUUGACAAGA